rnacentral:tRNA from 1 species
GCCUGUCGAGCUCGACUGGACGAGCACCCGCCUUGUAAGCGGGAGGAACCGGGUUCGAGUCCCGGGACAGGCU